UACGUAGGGGGCGAGCGUUGUCCGGAGUUACUGGGCGUAAAGGGCAUGCAGGCGGUCCGACGCGUUUUUGUGUGACAGCGGGUGGCUUAACUACCCGAGGAUACGAAAGACGGUUGGACUUGAGGACUCGAGAGGGACACGGAAUUCCGGGUGGAGUGGUGAAAUGCGUAGAGAUCCGGAGGAACACCGAAGGCGAAGGCAGUGUCCUGGCGAGUGACUGACGCUGAGGUGCGAAAGCCAGGGGAGCGAACGGG
rnacentral:rRNA from 1 species